GACGAACGCUGGCGGCGUGCUUAACACAUGCAAGUCGAACGGAAAGGCCCUGCUUUUGUGGGGUGCUCGAGUGGCGAACGGGUGAGUAACACGUGAGUAACCUGCCCUUGACUUUGGGAUAACUUCAGGAAACUGGGGCUAAUACCGGAUAGGAGCUCCUGCUGCAUGGUGGGGGUUGGAAAGUUUCGGCGGUUGGGGAUGGACUCGCGGCUUAUCAGCUUGUUGGUGGGGUAGUGGCUUACCAAGGCUUUGACGGGUAGCCGGCCUGAGAGGGUGACCGGCCACAUUGGGACUGAGAUACGGCCCAGACUCCUACGGGAGGCAGCAGUGGGGAAUAUUGCACAAUGGGCGGAAGCCUGAUGCAGCAACGCCGCGUGCGGGAUGACGGCCUUCGGGUUGUAAACCGCUUCCGCCUGUGACGAAGCGUGAGUGACGGUAAUGGGUAAAGAAGCACCGGCUAACUACGUGCCAGCAGCCGCGGUGAUACGUAGGGUGCGAGCGUUGUCCGGAUUUAUUGGGCGUAAAGGGCUCGUAGGUGGUUGAUCGCGUCGGAAGUGUAAUCUUGGGGCUUAACCCUGAGCGUGCUUUCGAUACGGGUUGACUUGAGGAAGGUAGGGGAGAAUGGAAUUCCUGGUGGAGCGGUGGAAUGCGCAGAUAUCAGGAGGAACACCAGUGGCGAAGGCGGUUCUCUGGGCCUUUCCUGACGCUGAGGAGCGAAAGCGUGGGGAGCGAACAGGCUUAGAUACCCUGGUAGUCCACGCUGUAAACGGUGGGUACUAGGUGUGGGGUCCAUUCCACGGGUUCCGUGCCGUAGCUAACGCUUUAAGUACCCCGCCUGGGGAGUACGGCCGCAAGGCUAAAACUCAAAGGAAUUGACGGGGCCCCGCACAAGCGGCGGAGCAUGCGGAUUAAUUCGAUGCAACGCGUAGAACCUUACCUGGGUUUGACAUGGAUCGGGAGUGCUCAGAGAUGGGUGUGCCUCUUUUGGGGUCGGUUCACAGGUGGUGCAUGGCUGUCGUCAGCUCGUGUCGUGAGAUGUCGGGUUAAGUCCCGCAACGAGCGCAACCCUUGUUCACUGUUGCCAGCACGUUAUGGUGGGGACUCAGUGGAGACCGCCGGGGUCAACUCGGAGGAAGGUGGGGAUGACGUCAAGUCAUCAUGCCCCUUAUGUCCAGGGCUUCACGCAUGCUACAAUGGCUGGUACAGAGAGUGGCGAGCCUGUGAGGGUGAGCGAAUCUCGGAAAGCCGGUCUCAGUUCGGAUUGGGGUCUGCAACUCGACCUCAUGAAGUCGGAGUCGCUAGUAAUCGCAGAUCAGCAACGCUGCGGUGAAUACGUUCCCGGGGCU
rnacentral:rRNA from 1 species